rnacentral:rRNA from 1 species
GACGAACGCUGGCGGCAUGCCUAACACAUGCAAGUCGAGCGAUGAAGCUUCUUCGGAAGUGGAUUAGCGGCGGACGGGUGAGUAACACGUGGGCAACCUGCCUCAUAGUGGGGAAUAGCCUCUCGAAAGGGAGAUUAAUACCGCAUAAGAUUGUAGUUCCGCAUGGAACAGCAAUUAAAGGAUUUAUUCGCUAUGAGAUGGGCCCGCGGCGCAUUAGCUAGUUGGUGAGGUAACGGCUCACCAAGGCGACGAUCGGUAGCCGGACUGAGAGGUUGGACGGCCACAUUGGGACUGAGACACGGCCCAGACUCCUACGGGAGGCAGCAGUGGGAAUAUUGCACAAUGGGGGGAAACCCUGAUGCAGCGACGCCGCGUGAAGGACGAAGGUCUUCGGAUCGUAAACUUCUUUACCAGGGACGAAGGACGUGACGGUACCUGGAGAAAAAGCAAACGGCUAACUACGUGCCAGCAGCCGCGGU